GCUAUUUAAUGAAAAAAAAAUGGUCUUCCAAUGAACUGUAGAAAAGAUUCUUUAACACCCUUUUCACUUAAUUAUACGCCUAAUUUACUUAAAACUCAGCAAAGAAAAGCAAAGCAAUGGGGUUUUUUUGUUUGUGAACCAGAUUUUAGCUUCAAUGGUGGAUGGAUUUUUAUGAUUUUUGUUUCCAUUGACUUGGAAAAACUGGGAAAAAAAGGUGUUUUGAUUUUAGUCGUGAAUGGCCGCUGAGGUAAACAACAAAAUUUGUGAUUAUGAUUU
rnacentral:lncRNA from 1 species